UUAAUUAUAGGAUAGACUAUCUUCCUUUAUUAUAUAUAUAGAUUUUCAUAAUUAUUUCAUGUAUAUAGUCCUUAUAUGAUUGUAUUUGUUUUGAAGUCAUGGAUUACAGGGAGUAUAGACAUUUAAAAAGAAAAAUUCACGUAAUAUUUUAUAGUGCCUGAUUAUAAGUGAUCUGAAAAAAUUAAGUAAUUAGGUAUAACCGAAUAAAGUAAACUAAUAUGGUAAAUUUUGUUUUACUAUGCUUCUUCCAUGUUGUUCACCUGUCUAAUCUCUCGAAGAUAACUGAUUUUAUCAUAGGAUUUACAUGACAUUUCUAAAGAUAAGGAAUCUGGCCUAAUUCAACUCCAAAAGGUAACUCAUGAGGAUAGGAUUGUCUAUGUCCAUAAAAGCAGACCUCCAGUUAAUUUGUCAAUCAAUGUGGGACUUUAAUCCACAUUAACACCCCCUUUCACAUUAAAUCCUAGCUAGAGAAUAGACGGAAAGCCCAAACAAGAAUGAAACUAGAUCUUAUACCGUGUAAGAUAUAACACCUGAAUUAAAUUCAAUCUCAAAAACAAGUUCUUGAGAGGAAAAUUGUUCAAGUCCAUUAAAUAGACUACUAGUCCAUUCCCCGAUCAGGCCUUUCAACCAACCUAACAAAACACGCUUGCACUAGUUUCAUAAGAUAUUAUGAAAUACAUGGAGCUGGUUAUAAAUUAAAAAUGUUAAAUUAUGGCAAGCAAAUACUAAAAUGAAUUAGCAUUGCCAUUACUGUGAAGAUGUUUAAAGAAAAGGUUACUAUCUAGGUAUGACUAUGUAGCCCUUUAUACCUUAAUUUAGUUAAAAUAUGAAUAUAAUCCAAUUAUCGUGUUAUAAACUAUAAAAUUGGGGAUUGAAAUUUAACACUGACAAAUGAAAUUUGUUCUGUGCAAACGCGGACCAGUCCCGCAAAUGCAAUGACCCACCCCGGCACAACCCUCUGCAAAUAUGAUGAACCCAUUGUGAACAUGAAGUACAUGCAGACUCUUCCCACAAUCAUUGUCCUUAGCAAACAUGAGUCUAUUAUCGCGAACUAGUGAUGUGUCGUGGUUCCAUGGCACUUUCGAUGCUUAAAAUGAGGAUAAUAUACUAUGUCAAGGGUGCAUUUAUAUGGAUAUGAUGUUUUGUGAUAGUUUUACUGGAGACAGGGUUUGAAAGUGAGCAAAGGAAGAAACAAUGAAAAAUGCACAAGUGUGGAAAAAGAAGCUGGCUACCUUUCGUUGGGUCACGUUACGAGCCAUAGCCCAAAUCAUCAUGAUACCAGUGAAGUUGGCCCUUGAAGAGUUGAAGUAGGAGAGAGAUACGAGUCCAGGACACAAAUAGUGUCAAGCAACGAGUCGUCACGAAGACUCGUCCUGAGAAACAUUGCAAAAGUCCUGAAGAUGUGAAAUACUUCCUAGUGCCAACAAGUGCUACCUGCGAGUCAUAACAAGAGGCAACGAGUUAUUGCUAGAAGUAGUUAUGAGCAAAAGGAGCCAAGUAUCUGAAAGUUAGAAAAUCCUACCCAGUGGCAAUGGUCACCCAACGAAGUCGUUAGGUGACCAUAUGAGUUGUCAUCAAAUCCACCAGAAGAUCGAGCAACGAAUACCCGGAGCCACACAAUGAGUCAGAGGAAGAACCUAUGACUCGUCGCCCAUUUCAUCACCACUGUUGCCUUGCAAUACUAUUUUAUUUUUAACAGGAUUCUUUUAUGUCUAUAAAUACUUCUAAUAGGUUUAUUAUUUCAGUUUAUGGUUUAUUGAUACUUUUGAGAUAUAAUAUUGUUCUUGCAAGAAUAAACAUCGAGUUUUAGUAUUUUAUUCAUAAUUGAG
rnacentral:lncRNA from 1 species